UAUGGCCAUAUUGCCCUGAUCAUUUCUGAUCUCCUCUGAUCUCUUGAGCUAAGAAGGAUCAGACUUAGCUAGCGCUUAGAUGGAAAUGACUAAGUGCUAACAUGU
rnacentral:rRNA from 1 species